rnacentral:tRNA from 1 species
GUGGCUUAGUGGAAGAGCAUCUGCUUUGCAUGUAGAAGACACCUAGUUCAAACCUGGUCUCA